rnacentral:rRNA from 1 species
AUGGAGCCCUCAGCACAGGGAGGGCCUUCUACUUCCACGUCGGUUGACGAUAGCCAAUCCGUCGAUAGGGCUGAAGAUUCAGAACUCUUCCCCUCUGUCCCAGCAUUAAACCAAGCUGCGUCUAAUCUUGCCCAAAUAGCUUCGUAUUUUACCCAGUGCCUCCCAGUGCCUGGUUACACAGGAAUACCGGAGGAAGACCAAGAACUAGCAAUACUUCCACCGGUCUCAACUUCUGGCAGGCCUGCUCUUCAGACUUCUUCUGCAGAGUUGGAUGGCAGUAGCUUGUCUCCCAGUGUAAUAAGUUCCUCUCAAGAAACCUUGGAAAUCUCAGGGCAGAUGGCACCUUUUCGUGUUUUUCAGAAUGGAGCUUCACUAUUUCAAGGUCUCGUAGAUCGUGCUCGGAAAACUGUACGUGGUUCAGCAGAUGAUAUCGGAUGGCUUCAGCGCACUCAAGGCUUACCUGCAGCUGAGGAUGGGACGACCAGAUUUAUGGAGAUCCUUGACUCCGUGAGAAAAAAUGAGCACAAGCUACCUGAUGCGGUGGUGUAUUUGUUAGUUCCAGGUUUAUUUAGUAACCAUGGGCCACUUUACUUUGUGAAGACAAAAGCAUACUUCUCCAAAAUGGGUCUGGUUUGUCACAUUGCCAAGAUUCACAGUGAGUCUUCAGUAAGUAAAAACGCAAGGGAGAUAAAAGAAUACAUUGAAGAAAUAUACUGGGGAUCAAGGAAAUGUGUGCUCCUUCUCGGUCAUAGCAAGGGUGGUGUAGAUGCGGCAGCAGCUCUGUCACUCUACUGGCCACAACUGAAAGACAAGGUUGCAGGUUUGGUACUAGCUCAAAGCCCCUAUGGAGGAAGCCCAGUUGCUUCUGAUAUCCUAAGAGAGGGGCAGCUUGGUGACUAUGUCAUGCUACGCAAGCUUAUGGAGAUUUUGGUUUCGAAAGUCCUUAAGGGUGAUUUGCAGGCGCUAGAAGAUCUGACAUAUGAAAGGAGGAAAGAAUUCCUGGCGCAGCACCCAUUGCCCCCCGAGGUGCCAAUUGUAUCAUUCCACACGGAGGCAAGCAUCACCCCCAGUGUGCUGACAGCCCUCUCUCAUGUUGCGCAUGUUGAGCUGCCGGUUGCCGCUGACGGCAAUCCUGCGAGGAUUCCUGUUGUAAUGCCACUUUCAGCUGCCUUGGCAGCAUGCUCGCAGCUGCUGGUGGCGAGGUAUAGUGAGAAGAGUGACGGUCUUGUGACGAGGAAGGAUGCUGAAGUUCCCGGAUCGGUGGCGGUCCGACCAGAGCGGAAGCUGGACCAUGCGUGGAUGGUGUAUUCCUCGAUGAAUGAGGAGCCUGGGGAUCAGGCGAACACGUCGCAGGUAUGCGAAGCUCUGCUGACUCUGCUUGUCGAGGUUGCGCAGAAAAGGAGGCAUGAGACGGCCAUGAAAGACGAAUAG